rnacentral:tRNA from 2 species
GCCGGGAUGGUGGAAUUGGUAGACGCGCCGGACUCAAAAUCCGGUGCCAGUAAUGGCGUGAGGGUUCAAGUCCCUCUUCCGGCACCA